GAUUUGUGCCAACCACGGCCCGGAGAGCUGGCGAGAGGUGUCCUUUGCUCUCCCAGGGCCUCCUGCCUCACGGCUGGGUCUGCUGCAACCCAGCCACCACCAGGCUGAUCCGGGUGGUCCUAGCCGUGAAUACAAAGGUGCAGAGUCAGAAGUGAAGCAGUUAAAGAAGCCGAGGCAUGUUUACUAAGCCAUUUGAAGUUGAUAGCCGUCACGGCCUGGCUUUUUUCUCUAUCUUCGUAAACCGCAGUGAAUUGAUGGAAUGACCCGGACUUGAUCUUCAGGGCAAUAUGUCUGAUGGCACCGCUGGAUUGAUAAAUUGAUUCAAAACUAUUACCAUGGUGAAAAAGCAAUAAGGUCAUAAAAAUUGCAUCAGCUGGCUAGGUAAAUCCUGGCAUUUCACGACAAGUAAUGCAGAAGAACCGCAGGAGGCUCUGGGCAUGAAGCUGAAUGAGGGAGGGAGAAAUGACUUUGAAGAGCUCAUCAUCUCGGAUCUAUUCUUCCUGCCGGCGAUUCAUGCCUUCGCAUAGUGCCACUUCAUUAUGGGGAAAUAACUGUACACUCCUAGCAUAUUCCUGGCCUCCCUGGCGGCCCCUGGAGGACCCUUAGCUGGUUAAUACCUCAUCACGGGCUUCAUUGAACACUUUAAUCUGCACUUGUGUGAUCAAUAGAAUCCUGGUGUAAAUUAAAAGGACAAUUUCAUGU
rnacentral:lncRNA from 1 species